AUACGAAGGGGGCUAGCGUUGCUCGGAAUGACUGGGCGUAAAGGGCGUGUAGGCGGUUUACACAGUCAGAUGUGAAAUCCCCGGGCUUAACCUGGGAGCUGCAUUUGAUACGUGUAGACUAGAGUGUGAGAGAGGGUUGUGGAAUUCCCAGUGUAGAGGUGAAAUUCGUAGAUAUUGGGAAGAACACCGGUGGCGAAGGCGGCAACCUGGCUCAUGACUGACGCUGAGGACGCGAAAGGCGUGGGGAAGC
rnacentral:rRNA from 1 species